rnacentral:rRNA from 1 species
AGAGUUUGAUUCUGGCUCAGAACGAACGCUGGCGGCGUGCUUAAUACAUGCAAGUCGAACGUGAUUCCCGACUUCGGUUGGGAUGAAAGUGGCGAACGGGUGAGUAACACGUAAGUAAUCUGCCUUCAAGUUUGGGAUAACCCUGCCAACGCGGGGCUAAUACCGGAUGUGGUCCAGCAGACCCAUGUUUGCGGGAUUAAAGGUCGCGAGACCGCUUGGAGAUGAGCUUGCGGCCCAUUAGCUAGUUGGUGAGGUAACGGCCCACCAAGGCAGGGAUGGGUAGCCGGCCUGAGAGGGUGUACGGCCACAUUGGGACUGAGAUACGGCCCAGACUCCUACGGGAGGCAGCAGUAGGGAAUUUUGCGCAAUGGACGGAAGUCUGACGCAAGCAACGCCGCGUGAAGGAUGAAGGCCUUCGGGUUGUAAACUUCUGUUGGAUAGGGAAAAAAGUCCUUUUAAGAGGAAUUGAUGGUACCAUUCGAGUAAGCACCGGCUAACUACGUGCCAGCCGCUGC